rnacentral:rRNA from 1 species
CGGGGUGCAGCAGGCGCGAAAACUUUACAAUGCGGGAAACCGUGAUAAGGGGACACCGAGUGCCAGCAUCAUAUGCUGGCUGUCCAGGUGUGUAAAAUACACCUGUUAGCAAGGGCCGGGCAAGACCGGUGCCAGCCGCCGCGGUAACACCGGCGGCCCGAGUGGUGAUCGUGAUUAUUGGGUCUAAAGGGUCCGUAGCCGGUUUGGUCAGUCCUCCGGGAAAUCUGAUAGCUCAACUAUUAGGCUUUCGGGGGAUACUGCCAGACUUGGAACCGGGAGAGGUAAGAGGUACUACAGGGGUAGGAGUGAAAUCUUGUAAUCCCUGUGGGACCACCUGUGGCGAAGGCGUCUUACCAGAACGGGUUCGACGGUGAGGGACGAAAGCUGGGGGCACGAACCGGAUUAGAUACCCGGGUAGUCCCAGCCGUAAACGAUGCUCGCUAGGUGUCAGACAUGGCGCGACCGUGUCUGGUGCCGCAGGGAAGCCGUGAAGCGAGCCACCUGGGAAGUACGGCCGCAAGGCUGAAACUUAAAGGAAUUGGCGGGGGAGCAC